CCUACGGGAGGCAGCAGUGGGGAAUAUUGCGCAAUGGGCGAAAGCCUGACGCAGCGACGCCGCGUGAGGCAUGAAGGUCUUCGGAUCGUAAACCUCUGUCAGCAGGGAAGAACGGGCACUGUGCUAAUCAGCAGUGAAUUGACGGUACCUGCACAGGAAGCACCGGCUAACUCCGUGCCAGCAGCCGCGGUAAUACGGAGGGUGCGAGCGUUAAUCGGAAUUACUGGGCGUAAAGCGCUCGUAGGCGGUAUGUCAAGUCAAGGGUGAAAUCCCCGCGCUCAACGUGGGAACUUUCUUUGAAACUGGCAGACUUGAGUGUGUGAGAGGAUAGUGGAAUUCCAGGUGUAGGGGUGAAAUCCGUAGAUAUCUGGAGGAACAGCAGUGGCGAAGGCGACUAUCUGGCACAUAACUGACGCUGAGGAGCGAAAGCGUGGGGAGCAAACAGGAUUAGAUACCCUUGUAGUC
rnacentral:rRNA from 1 species